UGAGGAACAUGACCUUCGGCGGGGGAUAGCCGGCCCAACGGCCGGGUAAUACCGCGUACGACCACAUGGGGACAUCCCUGAGUGGUGAAAGCAGCAAUGCGCCGAUGGAGUGCCUCGCGGCCUAUCAGCUAGUUGGUGAGGUAACGGCUCACCAAGGCGACGACGGGUAGCUGGUCCGAGAGGAUGGCCAGCCACAUUGGGACUGAGACACGGCCAGACCUCCCGUAGGGACGG
rnacentral:rRNA from 1 species